rnacentral:lncRNA from 1 species
GUCUUUUUAGGGCCACACUUGUGGCAUAUAGAAGUUCCUAGGCUAGGAGUUGAAUUGGAGCUAUAGCUGCCGGCCUACACCACAGCCACAGCAACAAGGUGCAUCUGCGACCUACACCACAGCUCAUGGCAAUGCAGGAUCCUUAACCCACUGAGCAAGGCCAAGGAUCAAACCUGCAUCCUCAAGGAUGCUAGUCAAGUUCAUUACCACUGAGCCACAAUGGGAACUCCUGGAGAAGAAGUUUUCAUUUAGCAGGAGAAGGAGACAGAGAAAGAGUGGGAAGAACAUUUUGGAGGCAGCGGUAAUAGGACUGGUUAACUAAUGAGGUGGGGGAAGGGGUGCAUGGGGUGGCCGGUGACAUAGCCGGAGAGGCAGGCUGAGCCGGGGCAGGGUUCAUGGCCAGCAGGAAGUGGGGUCAGGGUGCCAUGACUUGGAAGGCCGGGGAGGCUGUCUGAGCAGACGGCAUCACUGGCUACUGGCGUCAGAAAGCAGAUUAGCUCCUAGAGGGGAAGGUGCAGCCAGACGGCCAGAGACUUUGGGGAGAUGAAAGCGUAAAAGUGGCCAGUGAAGGCCCAGCCGAGCAGCAGCCCAGGGAAGAGGGAGGCCGAGUCACAGGGCCUGGGCUUGCGCGGGGCUGAGAAGUGGGGGUGAGAGGAGGAGGAGGUCAUGACCAGCCUGGCCAAAGAUGCCCAUGAAGAAAAGGGGUUUCCCUGAGCUGCUGGGGCAGCCAGGUUUAAACCCACCCACUGUCUGUCAAUAUGAGAAAUGAAAGUUUUCUUGAUCUAGAGUAAGGUGCAUGCAGCACGGCCCUGAAGCAUGGGGCUCGAAGCUGCUCUUCAUCCUGGAACCUGCCCAGCCUGUUGCUGCAAGAAUGCCAGGUGGCACCUGUCGGAGGUGGCCGCUGGUCUGAGAAGCUUUGGUCUGUUUGGCUUGCAGUGUCUGGGGGAGUAUUUGCGAGAUAAAGAGCUAGGAGGAGGGGGAGAUUUAAGACCAGAGCAAGGACGUAUCGGGUGGCCUAGGGAGAGAGGGUGAGGACAGCCAGGGCUUCCUUGGGCUGGGACCAAGGAGGAAGGGUGGAUGAAGCAAGUUAGUAUUGAGUGUGCAUAUGUGUAUGUGAAAGUGAGAAUAUGUGUGUGGGCAUGCAUGUGUGCGUGUGCGCACGCUGUGCAUGUGUGGGGAGCAGGGGUUGGCUCUCGGAGCUGUCAGCCUGGCUGGCCUUGUAAGGCAGUGUGGUAUUGGCUGGAAGUUUGACUGGGGGUGCGUGAGACAGCAGGGCUGCUGUGGCAGCGGUUUGAUCUGAUACCACGCUCUCCAUCCUGACCAUGCUGCCAGGGAUGGAAGCCCAGGGGCUGAAGAGCAGCAGGGGUGGGGCUGAGGGUACAGGCGGGUCUGUGGGAAGGAGGGGAGAACAGGAGCCUGUGGUCAAAGUGUUGGGCUCAGUGGUGGAGCAGGUGCAGGACCACAGCUAAGGGCAUUGUAACUUGAUAUAUAAUGUGGUUUUUAGGGACUGUUUUAACUAUUUAACUUGGAUUGUGUUCAUCAGAUAAAUUCCAUACCAGGGAACAAAUGCAUUUUCAGAAAUAGCCCUUCUUUCUCCGAUGGUCAACACUUUGCCCUUUGUCUUCGCAUUUUCCAUGUGAAUUGUGCUGAUCUCAUCUGAGCUUCAGUGGCCUGCGGUUCCCCAAAGCCCUUCUGAUACCAAGGAGGCCUGCACUGAAUGCCAGUUGUUUCCAGAAGGUCUCACUGGCCCCAUUGUCUGUCAAACUCUUGUGCAAUCAACACAAAGAGCCUAUAAAAGCCUAGAAGGCCAUAUCACUAAUCCAUGCCCUCCUGGAGGCUCCACAGUGUCCCCUAUAAACAGCAGGGUGAUGUACGCUUCUGGGGGAGAGAAUAAGUGAGGACAGAAGCAUUGGAGAGAGGGCGCAGACAAAGCAGGAGCCAGAGGGUCCACACGAAAGUGGCCCUGGUGUGAGCGACACUUGCACAUCGUUUCUAUAAGAUCCACUGAACCUCUGCAAUAGCCUUCGAUUUGAAGCAGUGCAGGGGAAACAACCCUAUAAUCCGUUUUUUUUUUUUUUUUUUUGAGAAAAUCUAAGUGGAUAUCAGUAGAACUUAUAGAUAUGGCUUGCGAGUUUUUUCACUCCUUUAUGCAGACUGUUUAUGGAGUGUCCUCUAGGCUUCCAGAAAUUGGGCUAAUGGGCCCGAAGUGUAGCAGUGUGUGCCCUCAGUGUGGCGGUAGGUUUUCAAAUUUCAAGGAAAGCAGAAUAAGGUAGAGGAAGAAGAGAGAUGAAUAUUGUUAUAACUGAAUUAUCAAAAUACCCAGUAGUAAUUAGUAAUAAAUAGGUCCCAUUUUGGCUGAUUUUUCCACUGACACUUGGUUUUUCAGCGUGAUAGGAGGAGAUGGUGGGGCGAGGAUUGAGGCUGAUCUUGGUCCCAGGGGCCAGUUCUCUGCUGUUCUCAACGCAUCAUUACGCAGUUAGGGUAUAGUCUUAAGAGAAUCACGGGUUUUAGGACAGCAUUUUUUCCACUUCCCAGAAAUCAUUCCAUUUGCUUAUCCUAGACGCGGGGUUGUCUCUGCACGUCCCUUCUGCCCCCUUCACAUCUGUCCUAAAUCCUUUGGGCACCUGCUUCCAAACAGAUUAAAUCAUAGUCACUUUUACUUCCCAAGAGUGACAGUGUACUUCAGAUAAGGCCCUGCGGGCAGAGCUCACUGAGAUUCAUUCCAGAUUGUUCCACUUUCAGCCUUGUCAAGAACGAUAUUGUCAGAGCCCAUCCUUCCUUACCUUUAGCAUCAUCUUUGCCGCAGGUGGAGCAAAUAAAAAUUUGAAGUUUGAGUUUUUCCAGAAACUUCCCAAACUAUUAUGCUUCAGAAAGCCUCACCAUUUCCCCAGAUACUUUUGGUCUAGUUUGCAAAUCUCCAGACGACCUACCUGCAUAGCUUCAUGUGCUAGAAGAAAAGAACUCCUUUCCUGCUGGAUAUGUUAAAAUAUUAAAUCUGUUACUAGAAACCUAUCACUGAAAUAUUGAAAGGAGAAAAUUCUUGGUUUCUUGGGGAUUGGGAACAUGGCAAAAUGUUAUAAUCUGAAUCUGAUAAUCUGUAUUUUCGUCUCUUCUCAGUUUAAGAUACACAGUUUAGAAUUUAUAGCAUCUACAAUAACAGUUAAUAUUGAGUAAUCAUUUUCUAUGCAUGAGGCACUCUUCCAAGUAACUUACCAACAUUAUUUCAUUAAAUCUCCCCAACAAUACAAUGAAUUAUCUCCUUCUUAUGCGAGAAGAAAUAGCAGCAUGGAGCGAUGAAACACUUGCUCAAGUUCAGAUGGCCAGGAAAAGCAUAAUUCAGUUAGGGCUUGAAUUAUGCAAAAAAACCUUUCUGGCUUUAAAGCCAUAUUCCCAAACUCAUCCCUCAUCAGACAUAUAAAUAAGAAAUAGGGCUCAGAAUCCCAAAAGUUUCUGGACAUCACUUAAACCAUUUUUAACACCCUAGUAUGUUUUAAUAAGUAUAUUUGAGUAGCUGACAUAAUCAUGUCUACACAAUUACUUUCAGAAUGAAAAAAUCAGUUCGAAUGUUAAUUUUACAAUCAAACAUUAUUUUGUAGUUGAUGAGUUAUGUUUUUCUUUAUAGUGAAUAAAAAUUACAUUCAGGUUUUUUGUUGGUGGAGAGUAUUUCCAAACUUCCACUUGUUAGUAUAAAUGGGAAAAAGUCAGUGUAAGUAAUAAAGGACUUUAAUAUUUUCACGCAGACACAAAUAAAAAUAAUUGAAGUUAUGUAGCUAUUUUAAAUCACUUUGGUUCUAAAUUAAAAUUUCCUUAAGAGGACUAGAUGUGGGGUACAGAUUAAGACUAAGAAUGUAAAAUCCAUUUGAAAAGUACAGAUUUUCAGAUUAGAAGCCUUCAUGAGCCACAUGCAGAUAAUUUUAUGUCACGUCAAAUAUUUCAGGCUAAGAUAUUAUUUUACAUUACAUUUUCAAAUCCAUUCAGCAGCAGAAAAGAAAUCAGGACAAUAAUUCAGUUCUUGUUACCAAUUACCAACAGUUCUUGUUAGUUCAGUUCUAAAUACCAAUAUAUAAGCCAAAAAACUUCUUCUUUUUUUCUUUUUUGCCUUUUUUAGGGCUGCACUCACGGCAUAUGGAAGUUCCCAUGCUAGGGUCCAAUUGGAGCUGUAGCUGCUGGUCUUCGCCACAGCCACAGUCGAAACAACAUCGGAUCCGAGCUGCGUCUGCGACCUACACCACAGCUCACGGCAAUGCUGGAUCCUUCACCCACUGAGCAAGGCCAGGGAUCAAACCUGCAACCUCAUGGUUCCUAGUUGGAUACUUUUCCACUGUGCCAUGAUGGGAACUCCCCAAAGAACAUUUUCAAAACCCUUAUUUAAUUAACUUACAGGCAAGUAUCCCUCCUUUAUCCACUUCUCACCCAAACCCUAAAAACAGAGCCAUGUUCUUAAGGAACAAAAAUUGGCUAGUGCCUUGUCCACAGAAAAUAAAUCUUACAGAAAAUAUUUGAUCCAACUUUCCUUACUCAGUCAGUGAUUAUUACAGCAACAUCUGGAUGGCAGUUGGAUUGCAUGAAACACAGUAAAAACUCUAUUUCCCCAGAUUUGAUUCUAAGCUUUCUCACAGUGCGCUGGUGGACUGUGUGCAAACAGCCCUCCUUUUCUUUUCAAGCUGGAAACAAGGCAGAAGCAAAAUGGCCUGGGGGCAUCAGUGUAGUACCUGCUUCUUGCAGAAAAGCAGCUGGGAAGAGGAGCAGCCAAAGGAGGAAGGCUUGGCAGCCCAUGUUGGGAAGGCUUCCAGCUACUAGGCAACAUGGAGCUUCUGCUUUAUAUGCUCUCUGGACUCCCUAGGGCGUGGUGCAACCUGAUGCUCUUUUCAGGCUUGGAUUGGCAGGCUUUUCGAGCCCUUUGCUAGGGCAUUUGGUGUA